UCUUAUGGAUAAGCAAAGAAAGUGGUGUCCAAAGAUGGAAUCUGCUUCUGGUGACCAUGCUGUGAA
rnacentral:pre_miRNA from 1 species